GCACUACAGACAAAAACCAGUAAGAAUAUGACAAGAAAGACAUCUGUUGCAAUCAAAACAACAAAUAAUGUUUUUGUACAGUUGUUUAGUGAAACCAACAAGAUAUGCUGCAAGAAUAAUAUGGAGAAUAAUUUGCUGUAUAGCUAGUUAUCCAAUAAAAAUUGUGAACGAUGAAUUAGUUAGAAUUUUUUGAUAAGCAUGAAUGAUGACAAAGAAUUACUGCCAGAAAACAAAUAUUAAGCUUUAAACCUACAACAAUACAUAGCAGGAAAUCAUGUCAAAGUUAUAUUAAGUGAUACUCCAUAUAUAUAUGUGACUACAAGGAAAUUCUUCUGGCAAUAGCUAGCUAGUUUCUUUUACGAAGUAAUUAGUUCCAAUGAGAAAUUGUUACCUAGCUAAAAGCUACUCCUAUUUUUACUGUAAAAUUCAUCUAGUACUUCAUUCAACAAAGUUAUAUAUAAAUUGAUUGCUGCGUCUCUCUCCUCCCGUCGGCCAUAAUAUUAAACUUUAAACCUACAACAAUACAUAGCAGGAAAUCAUGUCAAAGUUAUAUUAAAUGAUACUCCAUAUAUAUAUGUGACUACAAGGAAAUUCUUCUGGCAAUAGCUAGCUAGUUUCUUUUACGAAGUAAUUAGUUCCAAUGAGAAAUUGUUACCUAGCUAAAAGCUACUCCUAUUUUUACUGUAAAAUUCAUCUAGUACUUCAUUCAACAAAGUUAUAUAUAAAUUGAUUGCUGCGUGUCUCAACCUAGUAAAAAUAUAGCGAACCUUCUCUUCGGGAUGAUCAGGAUUAGCUUCAAAUAUUUCCCAUGGUGGUUGGUCUCCAUAGAUAUCGGCAAAUUGGAAAUUAUGGCAUUCACUCUGCAAAAGUGUUGGGUAUUAUGAAUGAAUGGUGGAGACAAGAAAAUUAAAUGAGAGAAAGGGUAGGAAAACUUUAUGAAAUUGUGAAAUUAUUUUUUUU
rnacentral:lncRNA from 1 species